ensembl:snRNA U6 U6 spliceosomal RNA
GUGCUUGCUUUGGCAGUAUAUAUUCUAAAAUUGGAAUGAUACAGUCAAAAUUAGCCUGGUCCCUGCACAAAAAUAACACACAAAUUCAUGAAGCAUUCCAUACCGGG